rnacentral:rRNA from 1 species
AAUGAACGCUGGCGGCGCGCCUAAUACAUGCAAGUCGAGCGAGAAGACGUAGCAAUACGUUUGUAAAGCGGCGAACGGGUGAGGAAUACAUGGGUAACCUACCCUAGAGUGGGGAAUAACUAGCCGAAAGGUUAGCUAAUACCGCGUACGCUCCUUGGACUUCGGUUCAGGGAGGAAAGCGAUGCCGAGGAUAUCGCGCUCUUGGAUGGGCUCAUGUCCUAUCAGCUGUUGGUGAGGUAACGGCUCACCAAGGCUUCGACGGGUAGCUGGUCUGAGAGGACGAUCAGCCACACUGGCACUGCGACACGGGCCAGACUCCUACGGGAGGCAGCAGUAAGGAAUAUUGCGCAAUGGGCGAAAGCCUGACGCAGCGACGCCGC